CUGUGAACAAAGAAAGAUGAUUCUGAUAAUAGAGAAACAAAAGUUGCACACGGCACAGCUUGUUUGAAAUAGACAUGUAGUUGACAGUAACUUAUUGUAUGAUAAACAACUUGUUCAAGGGGUUAUCUUCAUGUUCAAUACCCUCAUUUUUCCACUUCUCUUCUUUCCCUGCCUUUAACUUGUUUUGCUUCUCUCUCUCUCUCUGGCUUUUUUGACAUCACUUCAUCCUUAGUUUUCAAUCCAUGUGACCCUAAUAUGAAAAGGUUUUUCUUUUUAUUUUCGGAGACGUGAUGAUGUAAUACCCACUAAUCAUCUGAGUGAUCUCAUAGCGUAGGUGAAGAUAGAAAGAUUCUAAUUUGCUGCUUGGCGUUUGGUUUCUUGUGUACGUUUUCCAGGAAGGAGCCACACAACUAUACAACUUUUGCAAUGUGUAGACGAUGACUAAGAAGAUUCCGGGUCAACUAGGGUCUAGCUGGCUAUUGCCUCCGUACGUACGACUCAUCUGAGAUGAAUUUGAUGGAUGCUGAUGAUGAAAGAUUGCAUUGCUCAGGACAGAUGGAGAUAAUUCACCAAAACAUAAAUAGAGGGAUAGAUGGAGAUUGAAUAAUUGAAAGUGAACUUGGGUUUCCCGAUCCUUGUGGUCAUUCAUGGAUGAGAUUAUACACCAAAACAAAAUGGAUAUAUAGAUGGAGAUUGACUGUGAACCGGUGAAGGUGACAGCUUUUCUAAAGAAGUCCUGGGGUCAUUCACUCAUUCAUGGAAGGAGCCACACAAUUAUACAACGUUCGCAAUCUGUAGACGAUGACUAAGAAGAUUCCUGGUCAACUAGGGUCUGGCUGGCUAUUGCCUCCGUACGUACGGUAUGAUCAUAAAUAUAACUGAAGAAAGUAAUGAUUCUGAUGCUCAGAUGCGUGCACACUAAUUUUUGAACACGGCAGUUAAAAAACUUUAACUUGUUUAUAGUAGCUAGUAAUAAGCAUGUAGUACAUAGAUAUUUAACUUCAUUUUUGCUCCAGACUCAUCUGAGAUGAAUUUGAUGGAUGCUGAUGAUGAAAGAUUGCAUUGCUCAGGUUAGUUCUCUGGUGGUAUCAGUUACAUUCUCAGUUACAUGGUUAAAUUAACGUUGCAGCUUUAAUUAGUUUCCUAUUCCUCAAUGUUAAUGCAAAAUUUAGAUCCUUUCGUUGAUGCAUUCAUUGCUAUUAUUCUGCUGAUACGCGAUUUUGAGUUAUUCAAUACCAAAUGGUGUUCAAGUUGUUCCUCACUCUCUUUUGGAUUACAUUCUGAGAUCUACUGUUAGUACCUUGGCAGUUUUAAUAACUGCACACCAAGGCACCUAUUGCGGAACCUAGAUGAGCAAACAUGUCUGCUGGAGCUUCAACUUUGAGUUGUCAGUGCUUGCGUGUUUUUGUUCAGAAUGGGGACAGAUGGAGAUAAUUCGCCAAAACAUUAAGAGAGGGAUAGAUGGAGAUUGAAUAAUUGAAAGUGAACUUGGGUUUCCCGAUCCUUUGGUCAUUCAUGGAUGAGAUUAUACACCAAAACAAAAUGGAUAUAUAGAUGGAGAUUGACUGUGAACCGGUGAAGGUGACAGCUUUUCUGAAGAAGUCCUGGGGGUCAUUCACUCAUUCAUAGAAGUAGCCACACAAUUAUACAAAUUUGCAAUGUGUAGGUGAUGACUAAGAAGAUUCCGGGUCAACUAGGGUCUGGCUGGCUAUUGCCUCCAUUCGUACGAUUCAUCUGAGAUGAAUUUGAUGGAUGCUGAUGAUGAAAGAUUGCAUGGCUCAGGAUGUCGAAUGAACCUAGACUCGACUUUCCAAUGCUUGACUCAACAGGCUCGGAAUACCAUGGCUGGGUAACCGACGUUGAGAACCAUCUCACUGCGAGUGGGAUAUUGCCCACGAUCCAGGCACCUGACCAGGGCCUUGUGUUCCAACGAACACCCACAAAGCAUGCUCAAGCACUUAUCUUGAUGCGACGCCACAUGGAUAAAUCUCUCAGAUUAGAGUACAUGUCGAUCAAGGAUGCAAGAGACCUAUGGGUAGCGCUAGAAGAGCGCUUUGGCAAUAUCCACAACGAUGUGGAUCAAUUGAGCAUUGGUUCAAGCAAUGCCAUGCAAGUACCCAACUAGCUAGCUGCAAGCUACAAGGAGUAUAGGCAAUUGAGAGAGCAAGAAACAAAUCUUGCUGAAGAUGAAGAUAUAAAUCUUGCUGAAGAUGAAGAUGGUGAAGAUAUCACUCUCACCACUGAGGACUUCAAAGCUGCAGAUAAAGAGCACGAGGAUGCCGCAGACUUUGAUUAGAAUAGUCCUUUCUAUUUUCCAAGAAUGGCAAAUGUGCCUUAGUCAAAUGACAAUUGUAUUAAAACUCUUUCUCAUGUGGCGCAUCCAAUGUAGUAUGAUGUCUAGGAAAGUAAUUGAGAUCGGGGUACUUAAGCGAGCCUCGCUCCACCAACAUCUCUCUACUUUCCUGGUCAUAUUUCAUUGGAGUUACCAAACGGAUUGAGUAACUACAAUUUGUCUAAAGUUUGAUUUUAUUAUGGAAUAGACUUUGGAAAACUUUGAUGUAAUCAUUGGCUAUUUUCCUUAUUAAUAAAGUGUCGCAUUAUUAUUCAA